GACGAACGCUGGCGGCGUGCUUAACACAUGCAAGUCGAACGGAAAGGCCCUGCUUUUGUGGGGUGCUCGAGUGGCGAACGGGUGAGUAACACGUGAGUAACCUGCCCUUGACUUUGGGAUAACUUCAUGAAACUGGGGCUAAUACCGGAUAGGAGCUCCUGCUGCAUGGUGGGGGUUGGAAAGUUUCGGCGGUUGGGGAUGGACUCGCGGCUUAUCAGCUUGUUGGUGGGGUAGUGGCUUACCAAGGCUUUGACGGGUAGCCGGCCUGAGAGGGUGACCGGACACAUUGGGACUGAGAUACGGCACAGACUCCUACGGGAGGCAGCAGUGGGGAAUAUUGCACAAUGGGAGGAAGCCUGAUGCAGCAACGCCGCGUGCGGGAUGACGGCCUUCGGGUUGUAAACCGCUUUCGCCUGUGAAGAAGAGUGAGUGACGGUAAUGGGUAAAGAAGCACCGGCUAACUACGUG
rnacentral:rRNA from 1 species